GUCCUUAGAAUCCUCUACAUAAUAAUAAAUGCCUAGUUUUUCUUUUUUAGUUUCUUCCUGAAGUUCUUCUAACUGGUUCAAUGGGUUAGAUUUUUUUUUGUUUUUAUUUUUUGAGGCAUUCAAUGGGUUAGAUUAGAUAACGAAGAUAAUAACUUCCUUUAUUUAAUUAAUUCAUUUAACCAAUGCAAGAUUUUGAGUAACAAUAUAAUAUAAGCAAAAAGGUUCAUGUGCCAACUGCCCUCAGCCUCAAACCAUACAAAUAUUGACACAAAUACAUUGUAUACUUCCCAUGAAUAUCAUUCACCACUAAUGCAAUUAAAACUAUAUUUGAUAAAAUUGGAAGGAAUAUUUGGUAUAUCUUUUGUUUUCUUCAUUUGCUAAUCCUAAAAAUGCUUAAACAUUGAUUCGUUUUCUUCUACUUGAAUAAAGGGUUAAAUAUUCAUGAAAUUUUGCUAUUUAUUUAUUUAUUUACUUUGUAAUGUCAAAAGGAUAAACAAAAUCAAAUAGGCCAAAAAAAUAGUUCUAGAAACCAAACCUAACCGCCACGAGUAAGAAUUUCAUUGGUCAAACGACUUUCCCCGUAUAAAUUGGCGUCGUAGUCCGAGUCAACGAAGCAGCCAAGCGGGUCAAAAAUCUCAUGUCGUUGUGUCGUAUCCAAAACGCGUGUGAUCCUGUUUUCAAAUUUUCCUUCCUUACAAACCACUCUUACUCCACACACGGACACACCACUUACCUCUCCUUCUCUUCUCCUUCACUUUCCUGGAAAAUUCGCUGUUUGGCUGCCUCUCUUUAAUAUUAUUCUCCGAUUCCCAUCUCUACAUAAAUACCACAAACACUGCCUUCCUUUUCCUAUUCCUCCAUCCUUUUCUCAUCAACUCUCUCUGGAUCUCUGUUCCCUUUCUCAUCCCACACCUACUCCUUUGUCUCUGAAUUUCCCUCAUUUUUUCAUUAAUUUUUUUUUUUUUGAAGGAGAAAAUGAAUCCCACGAAAUCAUAUGCUCUCCCCAUUAUUGGAUGCAUGUUUUUGGCACUUUUGAAUCUGAGUUUUGGACAGAGUCUAGCUCCUUCUCCAGCACCAGAGGGUCCAAUCAGCGACGGCGCAGCAAUUGACCAAGGAAUUGCUUAUGUCCUUCUAUUGGUGGCCCUUGCAGUGACUUACCUUCUUCAUUGAUUUUCUGGACUACCCAUGAGCUUUAUUAUAUUAAAUUUAUUUGUAUUCUUUAUGCAUUUUCUCCUUCAUUUAGUAGGUGGAUUUGCAACUAUUUUCUUAUGUACAAAAAAGAUAUAAAGUUUCAAUAAACGAAAGCAUUUGGUCGAUUGCCAAAUUUUGUUA